rnacentral:tRNA from 1 species
GAGCCCGUAGCUCAGUUGGUAGAGCGCCUCACUUUUAAUGAGGAUGUCCACGGUUCGAAUCCGUGCGGGCUCACCA